GUCAGUGGCAAUAGCACAUUGAACCAGUUCCCGGUGGAUCACUGAAGUUAAGCAACGUUGCGCGUGGUUGGUACCUGAAUGGGUGACCAAUUUGGCAACCCCAUGACGUUUCCC
rfam:Asian citrus Psyllid, Diaphorina citri - Florida Strain, whole genome shotgun sequence.